rnacentral:rRNA from 1 species
CUACGGGAUGCAGCAGUGAGGAAUAUUGCACAAUGGGGGGAACCCUGGUGCAGCAACGCCGCGUGGAGGAUGACGCAUUUCGGUGUGUAAACUCCUUUUAUAUGUCAAGAAAAUGACGGUAGCAUAUGAAUAAGCACCGGCUAACUCCGUGCCAGCAGCCGCGGUAAUACGGAGGGUGCAAGCGUUACUCGGAAUCACUGGGCGUAAAGGACGCGUAGGCGGGUUGGAAAGUCAGGUGUGAAAUCCUACAGCUUAACUGCAGAACUGCACUUGAAACUUCUAAUCUAGAGUAUGGGAGGGGGAGAUGGAAUUAGUGGUGUAGGGGUAAAAUCCGUAGAUAUCACUAGGAAUACCUAAAGCGAAGGCGAUCUCCUGGAACAUUACUGACGCUAAGGCGUGAAAGCGUGGGGAGCAAACAGGAUUAGAUACUCGCGUAGUC